GAUGAACGCUGGCGGCGUGCCUAAUACAUGCAAGUCGAGCGAACGGACGAGAAGCUUGCUUCUCUGAUGUUAGCGGCGGACGGGUGAGUAACACGUGGAUAACCUACCUAUAAGACUGGGAUAACUUCGGGAAACCGGAGCUAAUACCGGAUAAUAUUUUGAACCGCAUGGUUCAAAAGUGAAAGACGGUCUUGCUGUCACUUAUAGAUGGAUCCGCGCUGCAUUAGCUAGUUGGUAAGGUAACGGCUUACCAAGGCAACGAUGCAUAGCCGACCUGAGAGAGUGAUAGGCCACACUGGAACUGAGACACGGUCCAGACUCCUACGGGAGGCAGCAGUAGGGAAUCUUCCGCAAUGGGCGAAAGCCUGACGGAGCAACGCCGCGUGAGUGAUGAAGGUCUUCGGAUCGUAAAACUCUGUUAUUAGGGAAGAACAGAUGUGUAAGUAACUGUGCACAUCUUGACGGUACCUAAUCAGAAAGCCACGGCUAACUACGUG
rnacentral:rRNA from 1 species